UACGUAGGGUGCAAGCGUUGUCCGGAAUUAUUGGGCGUAAAGAGCUCGUAGGCGGUCUGUCGCGUCUGCUGUGAAAACUCGGGGCUUAACCCCGGCCUGCAGUGGGUACGGGCAGACUAGAGUCUGGUAGGGGGAUCUGGAAUUCCUGGUGUAGCGGUGGAAUGCGCAGAUAUCAGGAGGAACACCGGUGGCGAAGGCGGGAUCCUGGGCCAGUACUGACGCUGAGGAGCGAAAGCGUGGGGAGCAAACAGG
rnacentral:rRNA from 1 species